rnacentral:rRNA from 1 species
UACGGGGGGGGCAAGCGUUGUUCGGAAUUACUGGGCGUAAAGGGCUCGUAGGCGGCCAACUAAGUCAGACGUGAAAUCCCUCGGCUUAACCGGGGAACUGCGUCUGAUACUGGAUGGCUUGAGUGUGGGAGAGGGAUGCGGAAUUCCAGGUGUAGCGGUGAAAUGCGUAGAUAUCUGGAGGAACACCGGUGGCGAAGGCGGCAUCCUGGACCGCAACUGACGCUGAGGAGCGAAAGCAUGGGGAGCGAACAGG